CGGGGUGGGGCUCUGCCUUUCAUACUGACGCAACUUCUCAUGGAUCUAGCAAAUACAUACACAAUGCGCAUACAGAGCUGAAGAUGACUGGUCUCUUACACAUUUCCAGCAUACAUGUAAAAAUAAGCUAAGGUAGCUGAGACUCUUCUCACUGAAGACAUCCUUGAGGAAGACCAUGUCCUCUUUGUGAUUGGCAUCUGGACGCAGCUGUGAGGUCAGCAGGGCAAGUGUCUCAUGCAACCCUGCAUGCAAACAGGAGAUCAACAGACAUGGGCACACUUACGUUUCCCAGACUGAGGUCGUGCACCACCAGGUUCUGAUGGUUGCCCAGCGAGACCUCCAGCAACUCUCCUCCACUUCGUACUCCAGUUCCAGCUCC